rnacentral:lncRNA from 11 species
CUGGGACUCCUUUUUUCUCCUCAGCUCUGAGGUAAAUAGCUUCUUGGCGCCCAAAAUAUCCCUCCGCUCGUUGCCAUGGAGACGCGUCCAACUGCGCGAGGGAGGGGAAAAGGGGCGGGGCUUCGGCGCUGGCAGAGGGAUCCGGAGAGGAGGCGCUGCCUGUCACUCAAUGGGAAGGAUGGGCCGUUAAUCCAAAAUGGCGGGCGGUGGGCAGUUGGGGAAGGGGACAACGUCUUUGGGGGGCUUCCUGAGGCUCAACACCAGCCGCACAUGAAGGAACAGGAAGCCAGCAGAAAAUCUGAUUUUUCUGAGGGCGAGGAGCCCAAAAAUCAUAAGCCCCCAACAAACCCAGGCAAGAAGAAAACAAGGAAGAAGAAAGGGAAAAAGAAAGCCAGCCGGGAUCAUGGAAAGCAUCCCGGCGUGCCACAAGAUGAUGCCACGAAAGCCAUUCCAGGGCAAAGAACAGGAAACCCCCUCCUUGCCUCCACUUCGGCCUCUUCGGUUUUGACUCAAGGCGAUUCCGAAGCGACCAACGAAAGUCUCCGCUGGGAUGGGAUCCUGGAGGACCCUGUUGCUGAAGAGGAGAGGCUGUGGAAAUACAGGCUGAACAGGAGGAAGCGCUAUGGGGAAUACAUCCAGCAGAACCUACCGCCAGAGCCAUCCUUCGCCCUCAGGAAUUUGCCUCAGCUUUGUAAAGUUGCACAAAAGAGCCAGGAGCAUACCGUAUGCAAGAGCAAGUCCUCUACAAGUGCUUCCAACGGGCAGCAAAAGCCAAAUGAAACUGAGUUCUAGGCUCACAUCCAAAAUCGCAAUUGGCAUUACUACCAAAAUAUUCUCAGGAAAUAGUAUGAGAUCUUCCUCGUGCUUCUAUUUAGGUUUCUUUUCUUUUUUUUAAAAAAAGCCAAAGCACGAGACUUUGAUGUGUGUUCUUUGAAGCUGAUAUGAUUAUUAAAUUCUUUUUAAUUGUCCUUAAAUAACUAUGUUCCGUUUUAUUACAUUCUGUAUAGUGUUUCGAUGGCACAGACCUAGGAAAAGAAAAAUAGUACAAAUAUGCUGGAGGGUUGGUAGUUUGUUACAUGAUGAACAAGACCUUAAUAUUCAAACAAAAACGACUUCUGGGUUGCUGUGAGUUUUCCAGGCUAUAUGGCCAUAUUCCAGAAGCAUUCUCUCCUGACGUUUCACCCACAUCUAUGGCAGGCAUCUGCAGAGGCUGUGAGGUCUGUUGAAAACUAGGCAAGUGGGGUUUAUAUAUCUGUGGGAUGAGCCAACAAAGGAUCCUCAGUGGGAGUACUUUAUUGCACUGUUGUCCAAAGAGUGAUCAGAAAUGCAACAUACUUUCCUGCAAUGAUAAUUUAUUAGAUAACAUGGAUAAAAUUAAAAGUAAAUUGUGGAGAAAGGAAAUGACACCAAAGACAUUGUAUGAGGCCAUCGAGAACUUCCCAAGAACACAGCAACACUUCAGCUUUAAAUCAUGUAAUGAUACCUUUUAAAAAAAUCUUUUUCUUUAAAAUAAAAAGUACACAUAUAUAUAGAAAGAUAUUUAAGAUCACUCAUGUAUACAAUAAAGAGAGGCAAGGGUAGGGAUGGUUUUGUAAAAAAAUAUCCUAAUCGAGGCUUGUAUUGAUCAACUCCUAAGAAAAACAAAACUGAAAAAGCCCCCUAUUUAUGUCUGCUCCAUUCCUACCAAAUAAACUUGUAGACACUUCCUUCAGAUGACAACGAUAGGGAAUCAUAAAAUAUUUAAAUCCCUUUUCUCCUUCACUAUAGCAUCUCAGAUCAAUUUUGGAAUCAGUGUUACUGCACCUAUGCCGACCUAGCUAUGCCCAACCACUGAUAGUCCUUCAAAUAUUCAUUCUUGCAUUCCCUCUGUUAGUUUCCUGUCAGUGUUGUUGUUUUAUUCUGCCUACAUUGCAUUUUUAUGUAAUUACAUUUUAACUGUCUUUCGGGCUUGGCCCCAUGUAAGCCACCCCAAGUCCCUUCAGGGAGAUGGAGGCGGGGUACAAAAAUAAAAUAAUAAUUAUAUUAUAUCCUGGAAUCAGUAAGGACCCUAUUUAAUAUUUGAAAGCUUGCCACUCAGGACUGACGGGUGCCCCUCAUCAGUGAUUGAACAAGAUGCCAAACAUCCUUUAUUUUGGGGUUUGACUCUUUACAAUCUAUUAAUCUGGACAAUAUAUUAAUUCGACAGUAAUAUGUGGCUAGAUUAAUUGAAAUAAAUACUUUCAGGCAGGCAAAUUUCUUAGUAACUACUUUGUUGUGAAUUCCAACUGUUCCCUUAUUCCUGUUGUGAGCGCUAGACUCGAGAAGGAACUGCAACAAAUAUCUGCCAUCUGAUUUUGGUAUUUGCUUGAAACCGUAAAAUCGUAUAUUCCCUUCUGUACAGACCCUCAAGACCUUUUAUCCUAAAAACAUUCAGGAUAGUAUUUGUUUAUGUGAGGAGAAGAACUCUUCUGUAAAUUCCCACCAAAUUCUGCCCAUAGAUCUAAAUUUUUAAAUUCAGAUACAAAGACCAUUGAAACCUGAAUGAUGCAGUAGCAAUGAAGUUGUUGAAGGCUUUCUUGGCUGGAAUUACUGGCUUGCUGUGAGUUUUGCCAUGUUCGAGAAGCAUUCCCUCCUAGCGUUUCGCCCACAUCUAUGGCAGGCAUCCUCAGAGGUUGUGAGGUCUGUUGGAAACGAGGCAAGUGGGGUUUAUAUACCUGUGGAAUAAUAUCCAGGGUGGGAGAAAGAACUCAUUUGUGUUGGAAACAAGUGUGAACGUUGCCAAUGACCAGCUCGACCUUUUGUAUUGGUCGCACUACUCCUGAUUACUUGAUAUUAAUUCAGGUCUCCUCCCAAUCCAGUGUGAUCUUAAUCGAAUCUGGUGCACUUUAUCUAUUUCCGAAUUUGCAACUCAUAAUGUGCACUUUGCUUAUCCACUUUUGCAACUUCAUUGGUUUUAAUUAGAUGUCUUAAUACUGCAUUUCUGGAGUUUUUUCUGGUUAUUAUGUAUAUAUUAUUACUGGUUUUUGUUCUGUAUUUUGAUGUUUUGUAUUUUGUUAUUGUUUUGUAUCUGAUUUUGCUGUAAGCCGCCCCGAGUCCCCUUCGGGGGAAAUGGAGGCGGGAUAUAAAUAAACUUAUUAUUAUUAUUAUUAUUAUUAUUAUUAUUAUUAUUAUUAUUAUUAUUAUUAGCACUGAAUAGCCUUGCAGCUUCAAGGCCGGCUGAUUCCUGCCUGGGAGAAUCCUUUGUUGGGAGGUGUUAACUGGCCCUGAUUGUUUCACAACCUCUGAGGAUGCCUGCCGUAGAUGUGGGCAAAAUGACAGGAGAGAAUGCUUCUGAAAUAUGGCCAUGCAGCCCGGAAAACUCACAGCAGCCCAGCAAUUAAGUUGCUCCAGAAACAAUCUUCAGUGCACAAGGCCAUAAGAAUUCGGUAAAUUAACCCUGCUUCAUUUACACUUAUACAGUAGAGUCUCACAUAUCCAAGACUUGCUUAUCCAAGGUUCUGGAU